rnacentral:rRNA from 1 species
GCUUUCUUUGCUGGCGACCGGCGCACGGGUGAGUAACACGUAUCCAACCUACCCUUUACUCGGGGAUAGCCUUUCGAAAGAAAGAUUAAUACCCGAUGGCAUAAUGAUUCCGCAUGGUUUCAUUAUUAAAGGAUUCCGGUAAAGGGUGGGGAUGCGUUCCAUUAGGUUGUUGGUGAGGUAACGGCCCACCAAGCCUUCGAUGGAUAGGGGUUCUGAGAGGAAGGUCCCCCACAUUGGAACUGAGACACGGUCCAAACUCCUACGGGAGGCAGCAUG